ACUCGGGAAGAGCGGAUGGGGGAAUGGAAAGCCCCCAUCGAGACGGUACCGAGAGAGGAAGCCCCGGCUAACUACGUGCCAGCAGCCGCGGUAAUACGUAGGGGGCAAGCGUUGUCCGGAAUCACUGGGCGUAAAGCGUGCGUAGGCGGUGGCGUGUGUCUGGGGUGAAAGACCAGGGCUCAACCCUGGGAUUGCCUGAGAAACUGCGCGACUUGAGUGCUGGAGAGGCAAGGGGAAUUCCGCGUGUAGCGGUGGAAUGCGUAGAUAUGCGGAGGAAUACCAGUGGCGAAGGCGCCUUGCUGGACAGUGACUGACGCUGAGGCACGAAAGCGUGGGGAGCAAACA
rnacentral:rRNA from 1 species